CUCAAAUAAUAAUAAUAAUGGGAAAAUUACUAAUACUACAUACCUUAUUGGUUGUGAGGAUUAAAACUAGUGGCAUUCAAAAGGUAUUCAUUUCACAUAAAAGAUUCCACUACCAGCAAAAUGAAUGGCAUAAGGCAGGUACUUGAUAAAUGUUUUUAUUCAUUUAUUUUGACUUUUUUAUGAAUGGAGAGAUUAAUGAAUUCACACUGAAGCACCUUAGGUUUGAACAGUAAGUCAGUGAGUGCUGUGCUCACCUGAUGCCAGUGUGCAGCAUGGUUCAGAGCACAGACUCUGGUGCCAGCCUCCCGCGGGAAAUCCUAGGUCUUCCCAGCUCCCUGUGAGCAGUCUGUGCCUCAGUUGCCUCAUCUGUUCAGUGUGGCUGGUGUUAGGAGCCCUCCUCCUGUGGGUGGAGAGAGGAUGGAUGGAGUCAUGUGCAUCACGCGUAUGUUUCUGAUGUUUUCUGGGACGUAGGAACCAAUGCUGCCCCCUCCUUCCGUCUUCGUGGCUCCUCCCUUCAUAAUGGAAGCUGCCGAAGUCCAGCUGCUGUUUGCGCAUGUGCAGACCCAGGAUCCUCUGAGACGAAGCAGCAAGGUUCAGCGGGAACCCUGCAGGUGGCUGGGCUCACCGGAAGGGAGCAAGGGUCUCAUCUGUCUUAGUAGUAGCUUGAGACUGGCCCCUGCAUCUCCAUGGCAGGAAUUUAGAAGCUGUGUGAGGACAAUGGAGAGAAGGGACUAGACCCAAACUCUUCACUCAACAGGGGGCAGGCUGGGAUGUUCUGGACCACAUGCUCAGAGUCAGCAGUCAGGCCGGAUGGAACAAGAGGUCGGUGGCUGGACUACAUGGCCGUCUCUUGGGCUAUUUGGCCUUCAUUCCGCCUGGGAGGAUGACGGGGCAGGUCCCUGGACAGAGCGGCUUCUGGGCUUCUGGACAAUCUCAGGCUGCUCUGUGGCCGCUGGAAAUGAAAGGGUCUUGCCAGUCAUGUUUUGCCUUCCUGCUAAAGUGGAGAGUUGUCCUGUCCAUCCUCAAGGCCCCCGAUGUUGGCUGGAAUUUACCAUAUACUCUUGUAGCUUCAUUUAUUACCACUCACUUCUGCGAGGCUGGAACAGACCUCAUCGUGUUUGUCAUAUGAGUGCUCAGGGUUUCCAUCACGCUGCAGUCCAGGGGGUGCCAUGAAUAUCUGCUGAGUGUUGCUGUCACAGAGAGAGGGGAGCUGGUUGUGACCGCCCAGCCACCAGUGUUUUUGUGGGUUUCUGGCAGGGCCGGUGGGACCACACUGCAAGUGAAACUUCUGUUAAUAAUAUCUCAGUGCUUUAUUAACUAAAUUCCUAAGAUAAGGUCCAGAAAGACCCGUGUUAGACAGAAAUUAGCACCGCGUUGCCUAGGAUUCCCAAGAACAGCGAGUGUGCUGUCAGGACUGAACCACCUCGCACCUGCCUUUGUGUAGCAUGAACACCUGAAUGCGUUGAAUGCUUUUGAAUGAGUUACCGUUUCUUCACUCUUGGAACUUUGCAUCUCUUUGCCAUUUUUGUUUCCUGUUCACAGACCCUGUCUGAUUCUCCCAUGCCUUUCCAAAGUUUGGAUUGUUAGCACUAGAAUGAUUAUUUCUUGGUAAAUUCUUUUAUUCUUAAUUUCUUAAAUUCUUUUAGCAUAAAUGCACAUACAUAAAUUAUGUUAGAGUUUACGCUUUUUUGUUUUACAAUAGUGUUUUAUUUACAAAGUCACCUCUGAGCUGAGAUAUAAUCUGACCUCCUGGGGUUUUGUAUGUUUAUCCCAUUAUUCACAUUCUGUGUCCUUAGCUUUUUGCAGAUUUUCAAGUGGGCCACCUCUCCUUGUCCUUAUUGCGUGUCAGCUUGUUUUUGACAAGUCAUUUUUCUGAUCUUAGAAAGAGUCUUUGACAUCUCAGCCACUGUGCCGAGAAGGCAAUGUCCCUUCUCCCCUCCUCCUUAUGUUCCCCGCAAAUUUAAUGAGAUGGUCUUCGAUUUCCUCGCUUCAGCUGCGGGUGGACGUGUGAAGCGGCCCAUGCUCCAGGCCUGAUCCCUUUGGAGGGACCCCCAUGGAGCACCUGCCUGGAAUGAACUGUGACUUUGACUUCCCCUUCUGGCCUCUUGGGCCACUAAGAUUUCUGCUAGGCUCCUUUUCCUUGCAGGCUAACCCCAAGGGCCUGUGACGUCAGAACUCCAUCCCCAGUGCCGUGCCAAGGUGAGUCUGCUUCUGCUGGGGUUAUUACCAGAUGAAACCUCAGGGAGGAAGGCCAGGUACUUCCUGAACAUCAUGGAACACGAGGCCCAGGUGACUCAGCGAGGUCAGAGUCUGCUGUGGUGGCGGCAGUAGGCAGGUGGGAGCCUGGAGGGAGGUGGGGCGUUAAUGACUGCCUGCCUGCUCCCGGACCCGCCUACCUCUCUGCUCUACCAUGCCUGUGAUUUCAUCAUGCACACCUUUGUAAACAAUCCAUUUAGCAACGAAAUUAUACGCUGGGUAAUUACAGCUUCCAGCCUCAUGUCAGGAGUCCCCCGCUCAACAGCGUGCUCCUGGUGAUACUGCAGCCCGGAACGGGGACUGGCUUUGCUAACGUCCUGACGAGACAUCGGGGAGAGACGGGAUGUGGCAGGCAUAUCAUUUUGCCAGGAGAAUUAGCAGUGCCAUCUUCCUGUCACAACUAAUUGACCAUACCAGCUCCUUAUUCAAGGUAAAUUGCAUCAUUCAGAGUGCCCACAACUACCAUCAUAAUCUGAGGGGUCACCACCUAUUUGGAUUGUGCCCAGCAGUGUUUUACAAUGACCUGUGAUUCUGUAUGGUAUCUUACUCUGCUGCCCAGGCUGGAGUACAGUGG